AGCUGUUAUCUCCUGUCUAAAAGCUCUGGUUCCUGGCAUUCAGCUAGAAAACACUGCACAGACCAAGGAGCAGAUUUAGUGGUCAUAGAUAGCCCUAAUGAACAGAACUUCAUCGUUUCAAUCACCCAGCAUUUAGCUUGGAUUGGUUUAAGUGACAUAGAACAAGAGGGCACGUGGAAAUGGGUAGACGGAACGCCUCUGACUCUGAAAUACUGGGCACCUCGCCAGCCUGACAACAGG